AACCGGUGUGCCCAGAUCUUCGUGAAUAUCAAUUGUGUGGAUGUCCGUGUGAGGACCGAAUUUACCUUCAUAAAGCGAAUGAAGACAAGGCAAGAUUGACGGAUUCACACCAUCUAAAAUAAAGUUAUCACAUCUAUUGAAGCAAAAUAUUGUUUACCGCACUCUCAUAGGAAAAUGAAAGAAACUUACAUUGCAAGAAAUGUAUAACCAUCAGCACCAAAGAAUAGCUCGAAAUGGUCAUAUUCUUAGCAUCGUUGAUGUCUUGGCACUGCGCCCAGAGUUUCACCACCAAUACCAAAGGUGGUCAUUCGAGGUACUAACGUUAAUUGGCACCUUAGCUUGUAUCAGUUCAAGGUUUUCAAUAAAGUCUGCAAUGCAACAAUACAAGAAUUUCCAAUCUCAUACUAAUCGAAUACACUGAAUAAAAGCUAUUAAACAGUUGUUGUCAGGAAUUGGUACACGUAAGCAAAUAACAUACCACAUCUCUUCAGGCACUUUGAAAUCUGUUCUAAAUGUCCAACAGCUUCAUUCCGUUGAUCCAUUUCUGUGUGUCUUACCAAGAGGCACAUAUCCACGUCACUAUUAUCUGAUCCAAACCCACUCAUUGUUGAACCCACCAAAAAUAAUCCGUAUCUUGGAAAUGCCGU
rnacentral:misc_RNA from 1 species